GACGAACGCUGGCGGCGUGCCUAAUACAUGCAAGUAGAACGCACAGUUUAUACCGUAGCUUGCUACACCAUAGACUGUGAGUUGCGAACGGGUGAGUAACGCGUAGGUAACCUGCCUGGUAGCGGGGGAUAACUAUUGGAAACGAUAGCUAAUACCGCAUAAUAUUAAUUAUUGCAUGAUAAUUAAUUGAAAGGUGCAAUUGCACCACUACCAGAUGGACCUGCGUUGUAUUAGCUAGUAGGUGAGGUAACGGCUCACCUAGGCGACGAUACAUAGCCGACCUGAGAGGGUGAUCGGCCACACUGGGACUGAGACACGGCCCAGACUCCUACGGGAGGCAGCAGUAGGGAAUCUUCGGCAAUGGACGAAAGUCUGACCGAGCAACGCCGCGUGAGUGAAGAAGGUUUUCGGAUCGUAAAGCUCUGUUGUAAGAGAAGAACGGGUGUGAGAGUGGAAAGUUCACACUGUGACGGUAUCUUACCAGAAAGGGACGGCUGACUACGUG
rnacentral:rRNA from 1 species